rnacentral:rRNA from 1 species
AUCAGUAGCCGACCUGAGAGGGUGACCGGCCACAUUGGGACUGAGACACGGCCCAAACUCCUACGGGAGGCAGCAGUGGGGAAUAUUGCACAAUGGGGGAAACCCUGAUGCAGCGACGCCGCGUGAGCGAUGAAGUAUUUCGGUAUGUAAAGCUCUAUCAGCAGGGAAGAAAAUGACGGUACCUGACUAAGAAGCCCCGGCUAACUACGUGCCAGCAGCCGCGGUAAUACGUAGGGGGCAAGCGUUAUCCGGAUUUACUGGGUGUAAAGGGAGCGUAGACGGCGUGGCAAGUCUGAUGUGAAAACCCGGGGCUCAACCCCGGGACUGCAUUGGAAACUGUCAAUCUAGAGUACCGGAGAGGUAAGCGGAAUUCCUAGUGUAGCGGUGAAAUGCGUAGAUAUUAGGAGGAACACCAGUGGCGAAGGCGGCUUACUGGACGGUAACUGACGUUGAGGCUCGAAAGCGUGGGGAGCAAACAGGAUUAGAUACCCUGGUAGUCCACGCCGUAAACGAUGUCGACUUGGAGGUUGUGCCCUUGAGGCGUGGCUUCCGGAGCUAACGCGUUAAGUCGACCGCCUGGGGAGUACGGCCGCAAGGUUAAAACUCAAAUGAAUUGACGGGGGCCCGCACAAGCGGUGGAGCAUGUGGUUUAAUUCGAUGCAACGCGAAGAACCUUACCUGGUCUUGACAUCCACGGAAGUUUUCAGAGAUGAGAAUGUGCCUUCGGGAACCGUGAGACAGGUGCUGCAUGGCUGUCGUCAGCUCGUGUUGUGAAAUGUUGGGUUAAGUCCCGCAACGAGCGCAACCCUUAUCCUUUGUUGCCAGCGGUCCGGCCGGGAACUCAAAGGAGACUGCCAGUGAUAAACUGGAGGAAGGUGGGGAUGACGUCAAGUCAUCAUGGCCCUUACGACCAGGGCUACACACGUGCUACAAUGGCGCAUACAAAGAGAAGCGACCUCGCGAGAGCAAGCGGACCUCAUAAAGUGCGUCGUAGUCCGGAUUGGAGUCUGCAACUCGACUCCAUGAAGUCGGAAUCGCUAGUAAUCGUGGAUCAGAAUGCCACGGUGAAUACGUUCCCGGGCCUUGUACACACCGCCCGUCACACCAUGGGAGUGGGUUGCAAAAGAAGUAGGUAGCUUAACCUUCGGGAGGGCGCUUACCACUUUGUGAUUCAUGACUGGGGUGAAGUCGUAACAAGGUAACCGUAGGGGAACCUGCGGUUG